AUUGAACGCUGGCGGCAGGCCUAACACAUGCAAGUCGAACGAGUGGCGGACGGGUGAGUAAUGUCUGGGAAACUGCCCGAUGGCGGGGGAUAACUACUGGAAACGGUAGCUAAUACCGCAUACCAUCGGAUGUGCCCAGAUGGGGUUAGCUUGUAGGUCAGGUAACGGCUCACAUAGGCGACGAUCCCUAGCUGGUCUGAGAGGAUGACCAGCACCACGGGAACUGAGACACGGUCCAGACGCCUACGGUAGGUAGCAGUGAGGAAUAUUGCACAAUGGGCGCAAGCCUGAUGCAGCCAUGCCGCGUGUAUGAAGAAGGCCUUCGGGUUGUAAAGUACUUUCAGCGGGGAGGCGUUAUCCGCAGAAGAAGCCACGGCUAACUCCGUGCCAGCAGCCGCGGUAAUAC
rnacentral:rRNA from 1 species